CCUACUUGCUAGUUACCAUCAUUAAGUUGGGGACGUCUAGCGAGACUGCCAGUGAUAAACUAGGAGGAAGGUGGGGGAUGACGUCAAAUCAUCAUGCCCCUUAUGACCUGGGCUACAAACGUGAUACAAUGGCUGAAACAAAGGGCAGCGAAGCAGUGAUGUGGAGCGAAACCCAAAAAAGCAGUCUCAGUUCGGAUUGAAGUCUGCAACUCGACUUCAUGAAGUUGGAAUCGCUAGUAAUCGUAGAUCAGAACGCUACGGUGAAUACGUUCUCGGGGUUU
rnacentral:rRNA from 1 species